UAUUAGGUUGGUGCAAAAGUAAUUGCAGUUUUUGCCAUUAAAAGUAAUGGAAAAACUGCAAUUACUUUUGCACCAACCUAAAA
rfam:Pan troglodytes isolate Yerkes chimp pedigree #C0471 (Clint) chromosome 7, whole genome shotgun sequence.